CGGAGCUUUAAAUCUAUACAUUAACCAAAAACAAUCAAACAACAUAAUGUAAUUUUUAAGUUGGGGUGACUGUGGAGUAAAACAUAACCUCCAUAUAAAACGACUAAAUUUCGUUACGUCAGGCUAACAAGCCCAACCAAAACAUUCUGACCCAGUCAAACUGAAUACUGAACCAAGUUACCCCAGGGAUAACAGCGCUAUCCCCUUAAAGAGUUCACAUCGCCAAGGGGGUUUACGACCUCGAUGUUGGAUCAGGACUUCCCAGUGGUGUAGCCGCUACUAAAGGUUCGUUUGUUCAACGAGUAAUGUCCUACGUGAUCU
rnacentral:rRNA from 1 species